rnacentral:piRNA from 1 species
UGUGCACAGUUUGGUUCCUCCGAACUGCUC